UGAGGAAUAUUGGUCAAUGGUCGAGAGACUGAACCAGCCAAGUCGCGUGAAGGAUGACUGCUCUAUGGGUUGUAAACUUCUUUUACAAGGGAAUAAAAUGAGAUACGUGUAUUUUAUUGCAUGUACCUUGUGAAUAAGCAUCGGCUAACUCCGUGCCAGCAGCCGCGGUAAUACGGAGGAUGCGAGCGUUAUCCGGAUUUAUUGGGUUUAAAGGGUGCGUAGGUGGGCUGUUAAGUCAGCGGUGAAAGUUUGUCGCUUAACGAUAAAAUUGCCGUUGAAACUGGUAGUCUUGAGUAUAGAUGAAGUAGGCGGAAUGCGUGGUGUAGCGGUGAAAUGCAUAGAGAUCACGGAGAACUCCGAUUGCGAAGGCAGCUUACUAAGGUAUAACUGACACUGAAGCACGAAAGCGUGGGUAUCAAACAGG
rnacentral:rRNA from 1 species